rnacentral:rRNA from 1 species
AUUGAACGCUGGCGGCGUGCCUAACACAUGCAAGUCGAGCGGUAACAGGUGUAGCAAUACAUGCUGACGAGCGGCGAACGGGUGAGUAAUGCUUCGGAAUCUACCUUAUGGUGGGGAAUAACUAGCCGAAAGGUUAGCUAAUACCGCAUACGUCCUACGGGAGGAAGCAGGGGAUCGCAAGACCUUGCGCCAAAAGAUGAGCCGAAGUCGGAUUAGCUAGUUGGUAGGGUAACGGCCUACCAAGGCGACGAUCCGUAGCUGGUCUGAGAGGACGACCAGCCACACUGGGACUGAGACACGGCCCAGACUCCUACGGGAGGCAGCAGUGGGGAAUAUUGGACAAUGGGGGAAACCCUGAUCCAGCGACGCCGCGUGUGUGAAGAAGGCCUGCGGGUUGUAAAGCACUCUUAGAGGGGAUGAAAUGUGCAGGGUUAAUACCUCUGCAUUUUGACCUAACCCACAGAAAAGGCACCGGCUAACUCUGUGCCAGCCGCCGCCGUAA